AAGCAAAACGCUAACUUCCUUGGAGAGCUUUUAGAGCGCUUACGGCAGUGUAACCGGGCACUGUGGGUGGAGAAUUCCGCAAGUUUCAUGGGAGUUGAGGUCCCAGGAGAUGAACUGGCCUUUGAAGGAUGGAUUGGCACAGAGAAAAGAAGGUGCUUUUGCUGGAUGAGUGAUAGGGACAAAGCCAUGGGACUGAGCUAAGGCUGAACCUCAGCUGAUCCUGGAAGCCAACCAGCCGCACCAAAAUUCUAUCAGGUAAUCCUUAUGGAUAGAAUUUCUGCAAGUUUCUUGGGAGCCACAGAGAAGAGGAGGUCCCCCUGGCUUCACAGUAGAGAGCUGGAGUGGUCCUAGUGGGAGGAAGGCCUCACAGUGCUCGAACCAGCUCCCAAUCAGUCCCCUGCCUCAGUGCAUUCUAGCCUGGAGUUCACCCCACAGAUCCUUUCUUCUGCCUCCUGACUCCCAUAUCCUCAUGCUUGGCAGUUUUCCUCUGAGGAGCAUCACACCUGAGCCCCUGGAAAGAAGAUGUGGUGGUAGGGGUGAGAAGAAGCAAUGUCUCCCCCUUCAAGCUUUUCCUGAAAAGAAGACAGACACCUGCAGCUUUGAGGUCUUAACUACCACUCCUGGCCAUGCUCUUCUCCCCAACCCAUUGCUCCUGCCUUGACUGAAUCACUACAAAGGCAACACCCCCCAACCCCAUCACCAUUUGUUGUCUGUGCUCCAGGCUCCCUCAGAUCCAUAUCCCACAUCACUCCCUUCAAAUACCAACACCUGCCACACAGCAUAACUCAUCAAGGUUUGUCCUUGGUUCUCAGCAUGGAGUCCAGUUUCCGAAGUAUACCUCCAAAGUCCUGUCUGAUCUCUCACUGGGUCCUUUCUCUUGCACCAUAUCCAGACACCUGCAUUGUUCCCAUGUUCUUGUACCUACUUUUCAUCACUAGCAAUUUCCAGAGCGUUCUGUACCCUAUUUUCCCUGGCUUCCCUGUCUGCCAGGACAGUACCCAAGAAGCACCUGCUUUCUUCCUCUGGUCCCAGCACCAAGGACAGCGCCUGGCACAGAGCAAAUGCCAAUAAGUAAUGAUGAGCUGAUGGGUAUCAGACCCUGUCUACCCUCCCUCCCUUCGGGCUGGGUUAGGCACCACUACUGGGCUAGUAUUCCUUAGCAUUACAUUAAA